GAGCGAUCCAGACCACACUUCAUCAGUCGCUCUCAGGGCAGACUGAGAGAGAUGGAGAGGCGGGCGGAAGAGAGGAGGGAGGAGAGGCGCUCUGACCACCAGCCAGAGGAGAUGAUGCUGAUGCACCAUAGAGGACACAGCACCAGAACCAGUCCUCUUAGUGAUAACCUUUUCAGACCCAGAGAUAGAGCCAUUACAGGGAAGGAGAUGCAGCUCAGAACCAGGCAGAACUAUAAAAAUCUGCCGGAGGUGAGGAGGAAACAGGAGGAAGAGAAGAGGAGGGAGGACUGCCUGACUAACAGGCUCAG